rnacentral:rRNA from 1 species
GACGAACGCUGGCGGCAUGCUUAACACAUGCAAGUCUAGGAGCUCUUCGGAGCAACUGGCGCACGGGUGAGUAACACGUAGGUCAUCUGCCCCUAUCACAGGCAUAACAUCGGGAAACCGGUGCUAAUAUCUGAUGAGGUCUUGCGAUCAAAGCCUUCGGGCGGAUAGGGAUGAGCCUGCGGCUGAUUAGCUAGUUGGUGAGGUAAUGGCUCACCAAGGCAACGAUCAGUAGCUGGACUGAGAGGUCGAACAGCCACACUGGAACUGAGACACGGUCCAGACUCCUACGGGAGGCAGCAGUGAGGAAUAUUGGUCAAUGGGAGCAAUCCUGAACCAGCAAUGCCGCGUGUGGGAUGACAGGGCUCAGCCUUGUAAACCACUGUCGGAUGGGACGAGAAGGUUCUUUUAGGACCCGGGACGGUACCAUCAAAGGAAGGGUCGGCUAACUACG